CAAAUGAAAGUCCGGGACACAUUCUUCUACCACUUCCAAAUGGAAUCAGUUCAAAAUUUUGUCCCCUCACAUCAACAUCUUUAUGUGUGGUCAUAAAUCUUUCAGGUUGAAAUUUAGAGGGAUCUGCCCAUAUAAGUGGAUCACGAUGAAUCUUAUGAAGAUUCGUAAUAAGUCAAGUGCCAGCUGAAACAUGAUAUCCAUUAACUGUGCAGUCUUCAAUGGCUUCAUGGAUCAGGGAUAGUGGACCAGCAGGGUAUAAGCUUAGCGUUUCCUUAAUAAUGGACUGAAGGUACACUAAGCUUUUGGUGUCUGAUUCCGUCACUACCAACCUAUCCUUACCAACCUUAACAUCUAGUUCUUGUUGGACCUUACUUAAUGUGUCACGAUUAUUGAGUAACAGAGACAAAGCCCAUGUCAGAGUAACUGACGUUGUAUCCUCCGCCGCCAAGAUGAUACCCUAUUAGAUCAAAUACCAUAAAAAGAUCAACAAUGAAUUAAUAGCAUUUCCAACUUCUGUAUGUUAUUAAUGGAAAUCAACAAUGAAUUAAUAGCAUUUCCAACUUCUGUAUGUUAUUAAUGGCAAUCAGUUUGGUUAAGAGAGAUGCACGUACGAGACAAGUGGCUUUGUUGAUUGUAUCAGCAUGGAGUUCCUCCGCGUCACUGAGAAUAGACAGCAUCACUCCCAUGAAAUCUUCCUCACUAUUUGCCUUAUUUUCAGCUCUCUUCUGCUUGUGCUCUCGUAGCCAUCCCUCCACAACUUGGUCCAAUUCUUUCGCUGUCUUUUUCAUGUACUUCAUAUCUCCACCUAUGUCCAACCAUCUCAAAAACGGCAACGCAUCUGAUAUUAGGAACUUUCCACUCAGUUCAAAGAAGUCAUCCAUAUAUUUCUUCCAUUUCAAGUUUUCACCUCCUUCACUGGAAUUUGGAAUUCGCUUCCCUACAAUCAUCCUCGUAAUAACAUUCAGAGUAACUUCUUUGAACCAUCCCUUCAUCUCCACCAAUACUUUAUCGGAGUUAGUACUUUUCUUCUUGUUCCACUGCUGGUAUAAAUGUUGCAGAGAUGUCUUUAUCUCGGAAUCCCUCACAGGUUUAAGCAAUUCAAGUCGGUGAUUUGAGAGGAGCUCAAUAGUGACAAUCUUACGCACUGGACGCCAAUAAGGUCCAUAUGGCGCAAAGCCAGUCAUGGCACCGUUGUAACCCAUAAUUUCCGAGAAUGCAAGCUUUGGACGAGAGGCGAAUGCUUUAUCAUUUAUGGUGAGACAUUCUUUAGCAAUCUCCCAAUUGCUCACCACCAAAGCUCUAUGCACACCCAACUUGAUACUGAAGAUUCUUCCAUAUUUGUCAGCCAUGUUAGCCAAGCUUAUGUGAGGUGGUUGUGAUCCUCCUAAGAGGCGGAGAUGACCAAUAAUAGGCCAUGCUCCACCAGCUUCUGGUGCUGUUUUCUUCGAGUUUGUGUUUCUUCUUGAGAUCCAUAGCAAAGAGAAAAGAAAAAGUAGUGGAAAAGCAAUGAUUGCAACAGUUGAAGUUGCUGUGAGUGAAUGGAGAUAAUCCAUCGCCAGAUUCCCACUUUAAGAUAAGAAAUGGGAAGUGAGUAGCAGAGAUAAGAAUAUAUAUAUAUAUUCAAUCUUUGAAUUUUGUCUCGUUGUGGAAAACCGAGGAAAUUCAUAGAAGAUUUAUAUGAGGGAGUUGGAUUUAUAGGGUUAAAGUACUGUCACAGCAUCGCCUAUCAUUAUUGACCACUUAUUUAACCCAUCGCCAGAUUCCCACUUUAAGAUUAAGAUAUGAAAUGGAAGGUGAGUAGCAGAGAUGAGGGAGUUUGAUUUAUAGGACAAGGAAUGUGUUUUUUUAAGCUUUUUAAGUUUAAAAUUGCAAAUGAUGUGGUACAAGUAAAUUUUGUGAGUAUACAAUAAAUUAUUUAAAAUAAAUAAUUUUAUGCUUAUCUUAUAAUAAAGUUCAUAUUUGAUGGAUUGAUUUAAAAAUAUAUAUAAUUUUCAUAUCUAUUUUUUUAUUUCACCAUUAACAAGUAUUAGGUGUAGCGGUAAGAUACGUUAUACUAUUAAGGAAAAAAACACGAGUUUAAACCUUCAAGAUGAAUAUUAUUAAAUAAAACAAUUACAAAUCCCAAAUAAAGGCAAUAAAAUAGAUAUGCAAAAUAAAGAAAAGGGUAAACCACACAGUUGGUCACUCAACUUUUAUAUGUAUUCAUUUUGGGCACCAAAUUUAAAAGUUUACAAUUUAGGUACUGUCGUUAUAUACUUUUAUCAUUUUAGUCACUAUCAUUACAUACUUUUUUUAUCAUUUUAGUCACCCAUCGUUAAUUUGUCAUUAAAUAUACUCAGUUGGCCACUUAACUUUUAUAAGUAUUCAUUUUGGACACCAAAAUUUAAAAGUUUGCAAUUUAGGUACUGUUAUUAUAUACUUUUAUCAUUUUAGCCACUAUCGUUACAUACUUUUAUAUCAUUUUAGUCACCCACCAUUAAUUUUCCAUUAAAUAUACUCUUUUUUAAUCACUCAACUUUAAUAAGAACUCAAGUAAUUUCCUACAAAACUCUAGGUGUUUCCCUUUUAUUGAAAAAAAUUAAAAUUAAUUCUAAAAAGAUAAAUUAGUUUUUCAGUAAAAACUAAAGUAUUUUUUCUAUAAAAACCUAGGUAAUUCCCUAUAAAAUCAUAGGCUUUUCCCUUCCAUUUUAUUCAGAAAAAAAACUGAAAUUAAUUCUAAAAAGAAAAAAUAAAGGAAUUUCUAACCUAAAUUUUCCUCUAAAUUUUCAGUUUUUCUCCUUUACUGAAAAAAAAAUUAAAAAAUUAAAAGAAAUUAAAAAGAUAAAAUGAGUGACCAAAAUAAAAACUUUCUAAAUUUGGGUGACUAAAAUAAAUAUAUUUAAUGGAAAAUUAAAGGCGAGUUGCUAAAAUGAUAAAAGGAUAUAAUGAUAGUGACUAAAAUGAUAAAAUUAUGUAACAUUAAUAGUGCCUAAGUUGCAAAUUUUUUAUUUUCGGUGCCCAAAAUUUUCAGUUUUGGGACUUUAAAACAUCGUAUCCACAUGCGUGGGAUUUUUCUUGAAAUUAUCUUGGAUUUUUUCAGAUAUUUUCUUGGUUUUAUAUUGAGUUAAUUUUGAUUAUAAUUAAUCAAAUUUUUAUUAUUAUUUAAAUUUCUGAUCGAGUUGAUAUCAUAAGUUGAUGUUAUGAGGUUUAGAAAGAGUCCAAAUGAUAAUACUCUUCCAAGAAGAUACCUACACUUUCAAUCAACCCAAACUGAAGUCAAAUGUCUUCAAACGUUUAACUAAUUAAUUUUCUUUACCACUAUUCAAACGCCCAAAUCGUGAUGUUUGUUAACGCAAUUUGGAUAUAUUAAUUCUAGUCUACAGAACAUUAGUCAGUAAAUGUUUUUAUUUAAAAAUGGAUUUAGAACCCUAUUACUAAAGUCCAAACUAACUAUUAUACAAUGGAUAAUUGCAGUCCCAACAAAAUACACUUAAUAUUACGGUCAUUCACCUCAAGCAACCUCACUUACAACAAGGAUUAUUCUCCAAUAAAAUCCAUACCACAAAAGUGUAAGAAUACAAAAUAGAAUUAUAUCAAUAAACACUCCUACAAAAGCAAUCAAAAUGCAUUGUUAUAGGCCAAUUUCGCCCGGGCCCAUACCAGCAAAACAAAAACAGCCCAAUUACAAUUGUCAAGCCCAAAUACCAACCCACCUAGACCUAACCUAGAAGCCCAAUCAAUAGACCCUAAACAAAAUUUAAAACCCGAGCCCAAUUACAAGACCAGUCCUAAUGCAAACCAUAAGCCCAAAACCCGAAUGGCCCAAAUCUAAAAAAUAAAAAUAAUAAAAAAACCUAGCAGAAAACAAAAGAACCCUAGGCGCCGCACCUAGGGUAUUUUGACCCUUGGUCUUCUGACCCCUCUGCUGCCGCUGCAGCGCCACCUGCUCUGCCGCUCACCUGCCCCGCCCACUUGUGCCUGCAACUGAAGUGACAAGAAUAUUAAAAAGCUUAUAAUCGGCUAUAAAAGCCAUGAUAAGCCACUGUAAAUGGGGAUUUUUUUUUAGAAAUAAAAAAAAUAGAUUCAAAAAAAGAUUCAAAAAAAACUAAAUGUGACCUUUUUAUUUUUGUUUUCGUUUUAUUUUAUUUUUAUGUUUUUUAUUAUUUCAAAAUAUUAAAUAAAAUGAAAAAGGAGAGGCUCUUUUACCUUUUGCCAUCGCCAGAGUGCUCAGGGAGGCAAGGAGGUGGAGAAAUUUUUCGGCUUUUCGGUCGUCGUGUACGGCGGAGCCGUCGCCGGCAACUGGCAGUAAGAGCAGUGGCCUAUGGCCAGAUUUUGGGCCAGUGCCCAGAGAGGGAGAGAGGGAUUGAGAGCAUUUUUAAAAAAAAAUUUUGAAGGAAAGGGGAAAAAUAAAUUUUUUUUUAGAAAAUUUUAGCUUUUAUAGAGGGUCAAAACGAUGUCGUUUUGAGCGCCAAGCCCAAGCGCCAAAACGACGCCGUUUCGUGCUCAACCCGCUCACUGACCCGACCCGCAAGAGGAUCCGCGUGUUUUUGUGGAAGGGUCUAUUUGCGCAUUCAGCCCUUCCACUUUUUAAUGUUUUUUAAUCAAGUAUUUUUAUUUUUUUCAAUUUUACCCCACAAUUUGUUGCGCUUACAAUUUGGUCCCAAUGGAAAUGUGCGUUUUGGAGGGUGGGGGAUUAUUGCCCAUUUAGUCCCUCGUUAUCUGCACGUUCAAUUUGGUCCUCUCUCUUUUAUUUAUUUCUAAUUUUCCCCCGAAUUUUGUUUUAGAGUUCAAUUUAAUCCUUUUUUUUUUGCUAUUUUUGUUAUGUAUUUAUUUACCUAAAUAAUAAAUAUAUUUAUUUUAUUUGUUUAUAUUAUUUUAUAUAAUCUUUAAGCUUUAAGAUUUCUACUAUUGUUAUUAUUAUUAUUAUUAUUAUUAUCAUUAUUACUGUUAUUAUAUUUAUCUUUUUUAGUUUUAUUUAAUAUUUCUUUGUCUUUUUAUUUGUUUGCUUAUUUUCAAUUUUUUUUUUAGUUUUUCAUUUGUUUAUCUACAUAUUUUUCUUAUAUAAUUGAUUCAUUUGUACUUUUUUCAUUAUUUAUCUUGUUUUAUUUUCAUUUUUUUCUAUUAUUAUUUGUUGUCUAUAAUCGCAUUCGUUAAUAUUUUGUCAUGUAUAUUAGUACCGUGAUUUAUUUUUACAUUUUAUCAUGAAAUUAUGUUACAUUAAUUCUACCCUAUGCAUAAAUUAUGACUUUAAAAUAAGUAAAGCUACGUAUUUUGAGAUUCGAGAAGUUGUGCCUUAACUUAUUGGGUUUCGAUUUUUCUCGCGUUGAAUCUAAAUAACCGAAUAUCUUUCUAAAACUAAAAUAAAUGUGUUUUAAAUAAAGAUAACGUAAUAUUCAGUAUUUGGGAUCGUCGAGAGGAUUGAGCCCUAACGUAUUGGGAUCCAAUUUUCCUCGUUGAAUCCAAAUAAUCGAGAAUAUUCUUUAAUCAAAACACAUAAAUAAAAAGUUCAUUAUCGGGAAUUCGAUACGUUGAGUCCUAACGCAUUGGAUAUGACAUGUUGUUUUCUCGAGAUGAGGAUUUUUCUAAAAAAUAAAGGCAAUAUUCAAUGUUUGGAAUUUUGAAAAAUUGUGCCCUAACGUAUUGGGCUACGAUUUCUUCAUCUGACUUAAACAAUUGAAUAUCCUUUUAAAUUUUAUUGCAUGAGUUUUUUAGGACAAGCUCAUUUUUGAGGAGGUGAAAUAUCAUGCCCUAACUCAUUGAGUGUGACAUUUUCUCUCUCCAAAAUGAGAGGGUCUUAACGGGUAAUUUGAUUUAUAUAAGUUUUUUUACAAAAGAUCGUAUUUUAAAUCUCUUCAAAGUUUUCAAUUUUUGACAUUAAGGCAUUAAUUAAUUAACUAGGUACCAAUUUUUUGGCCUCACGAGGGUGCUAAUCCUUCCUCGUACGUAACCGACUCCUGGACCAGUUUUUCUGAAUUUCAUGGACAAAAAUCGUUGUUUUAAUAAAAUCAAAUCGCUUAUUAAAAAUAACCAUUUUUCGAGGUGACCCGAUCACACCUCAUCAAAAAAUAUUAGUGGCGACUCCCGUUUUUAAUUUUUAUUUUUGAACCAACAUCAACCCCGUUUUAUCAAAAAAAUAGUGUCAACAUGCAUACCACAUAUGUACUAUAAUGCAACCUAUUUAUUGCCUAAACAAAGCAUCACAUAUAGUUAUAUGUCUCAUCAAUAAUUAUAUGUCACAUCAAUAAUACAAAUAAAUUAAAUUAAUCUUAUGUUGCCUUCUCAAAAAGAUACAUUUAUAGCAUAUUGCAUAAAAUGUUUACAUCAACCUAAUGAUAACCUAAAAAAGACUACAAAAUCAACUAAGCACACAAUUAAUCUUAGCUGACCAAAGCAUAAAAUGGUUACAGCAUUAACUACCAAAAGUCAACAAAAUAAAACAUGCUGCUGUCGAAUUACACCAUGGACACUAGCAUGCAUCUGCUGCAUUCUUGGUUCUUUUCAUGCAACGUUCACGUUGCAUGGUUUCUUACAUGUAGCUGCUGUUGUUGCCACCUUUAAACAAUAAGAAAUGGAAUGUGAGUAGCAGAGAUGAGGGAGUUGGAUUUAAAGGGCUAGGGGAUGUCAACACAGCACCUUCAUUAACAAGUGUUCUUGUUUUUUUGUCAUUUAAUUUAAUUUCUAAAAACUAAUUCUAAAAAACAAAAUGAAAAAGAUAAAUUAGGAGUCCCAAAGUUGUAAAUUUUUUAUUUUUGGUGCCUAAAAAUGAAAACUGUGACCUGCUGUCUACCCAAAUAUGUAUAUUCCCCCACACUCUAGGAACAAUAAUUUCUUUAAUUAAGGUUAAAUUUUGUUAUUAGUCCCUCUACUUUGUAAAAGUUACAGAUUUAACCCAUACAUUUUAAUUUGAUUAAUUUUGAUCAUUAUACUUUUUGAAUUGGUGAAUUCUAGUCUCUUAACUUUUUUAAAUUUUAAAAAUCUAGUCUUAACCCUAAUAAAUAGUAGUUAAAUCCGUUUGUUUAAAUUCAAUUAUUAGUCUUGUAUUAUGUUUACGAUUGUAAAUUUAGUCCAUAUUCUCCAAUUAGAUCAUUCUAAGUCCCUGUACUUUUUGAAAAUUAAAAUUUUAUUCUUGACGUAAAUGACCGUCAUAAAUCCAUUAACUGAAUAUAUUUUUAGUGAGUAAUAUUUGGAAAUAAUAAGACAUAGCAUUAUAUAUAUAUGGUAAUAUGUUUUUCGCAUCAGAUUUUAAAAAUAGCAAAACUUAACUUAAUGAAGGUAAUAAUUAUCGUUUGAUGAGAACUAAAAUUCUAAAGUUGAAAAAUAUAUAAAUUAAAAUACAAGAAUUAAAUUCAUAAUAUAGAGAUUAAUCACGUAAUUGAACUAAAUGUUGAUAUAAUUGUAAGUACAUAUCUUAAAGGAUCACGCAAAAUCCACCCACGUUUUCUACUUUUGACAAACAACAGUAUACAUAGCCAAUUGAAGCUUGGCAGUGUUCGGAAAUAUUAAAGUUUUGGAUAAAUUUUCUAUUCAUAUUUUUUUAAUCUAAAUUCGGAUAUUUCUGAUUUUUAACUAUUUUAUAUUGACUUAAUUUUGAUAAUAAUUAAUUAAAUCUACAUUAUUUUUAAAUGUUUUGUUGAGUUGGUGUCACGAGUUAAUUGGGCAUCAAUUCCUAAUUAAACUAUGAAGGUAUUUUAAUCUUUUUAUGUAAAAAAAUCAAUAAAAAUAUGGAUACAAUGGGAUUCAAACUCACACCGAUUGCAUUAGUAAAACAUUUAAUUUACCACUCAGCUAAAAUAUUAUUUUGAUAUUUGUAUAUAUUUUAAUUUUAUUAUGACCACUCCAUUAGUUCCAUCAGUUUUAUACCUAUACUAUUAUUAAACUCCGGAUCGAGUUGGUGUAUGAGUGAAUCGGUCACUAACUUGGUUAGGAAAUUAUAGGAAUGUCAUUCUGUAACUAAAAUAAGUAAUAUUAUGGGUAAACUACUAAAAUAGUCAUUUUUGUUUACUUUAGGUUACAUUUUAGUCACUUAAGUUAUCACACUGUAACAUUUUAGUCACUGAGCCGUUGAUUGCCAUUAACGAUAUAAUGGUAAGCUGAUGUGGCACAUUAAAUCAUCAUUACAAACAAAAAUUUUAGGUUAAUUUCUGUAAUCGGUCCCCAUAUUUUUUCAUUUUGAGCAAUUUCAUUUUUUCUUUCAUGUUAUUUUUUCUUCUUUUUUCUUUUCAUUCUCUUUUUCUUCUCCCUCUAUUUUCUUUCCUUCUCCAUUUCUUUUAACUUAAUUUUUCUAUGUUUACCAUUUGUUAAAACUAAUUCCUAUACUUUUAUUUUUUUUGAACAAUUUAAUUUUUUUGAGUAAGAUAAGCUUGUAGACUAAUUUUAAGAAUAAUAUUUAAGAAUUAAUUUUCAAAGGGAUUGAAAAGGGAACUAUUAUACCCUUUAGCCAAGUGGGGAUCAAGCUCAAGCCCCUGCCUGCUAGAAAGCUCCAUCUAACAAGUUACAUGCUAAUGUAGAAAGCUCCAUUUAAUGACACAUACGAUAAAAGCAUUUAAUUUCAAAUCAACUUUUAAUUCAAAUUGUCUAAUUUAAUAGUUUGGGUAGGCUUUAUAAUAUCUUUGUUGACACGAAUAUCGUUUAGCAUAAUAGUUGUAAGGAUGAUAGUAGUAGUUUUCAUGUUGAUUUGGUUGAGUUUGGAUAACAUUUUAGAUUUGGUUUUGAGUUUGGUAUUAGAGAAAUAUCACGAUAGGAGUGAGUCUACACUUACUGUAUCAAUUGUUAAUGCUUGGAUUUGAUAAGACAGAAAUGACAGUGGAAUUAGGCAGUUCACCUCGUUGGGUACAAGGCGGACAACCACUAUAAGAGGUGUUCAGACGAAGAUGGUGUUGAUAUUGGGUUAGGUUGUUGAAGGAGGAAUGAAAGGAGCGGAGAGAAAGAGAGAGUCCCUUUUUCCAGUCAGAUUUGAGAGAUUUUAAACCCUUAGCUACAAUCUCGAGAUGCCAUAUGUCACGUCUCUAUUAGCAAGUCAGGAAUAAGGGGCCAAAUGGUUUGUCACCAUAGGUUUAGGUAGGGUGGCGAUUGGACGUGCUUUCAAUCACUUUAGAUGAAACUCAAUAGUGAGGUUGAGUAGUGACGAUUAAUGAGUAGAGCUCACAUAAAUUAAUAUGACUGUUAGGUCAAGGAAUGUUCCCGAAAGAUAUGUAUGAGUAAUAAGUGGAGCUUUCGUGAGGAGUAGAUCCAAGCGGCGGAGGCAUAACAACUCUAAAUUUAUGAUUUAGCUAAAAUUAUAUCUUUAUUAAAUAAACUCUGUGAUUUUUUCUUAGAAGAGCCCAAUAAACAACUCCAACUUGAUGCUUUAGUAGUACAUUGAUAUCCACCAAUACAGGGGUAAGGUUCCAAUCGACUUUCGUUCUCAUAUGCUUUAGUAUGUUGAAAUGUUCUUUCAACACAAUUACUGAUAAUGCAUGUUUUGAAUAAAAUUAUUAUUCAAAAUAAAUAAAUAUAUUAAAUCAGCAAAAAGAUAUAUAUAGUAAUAAUACUAAAAAUUUAUUUAUUAUAAUUAUAGGUAAACAUAAGUAGGAAUGUGAGGAGUUAUAUAAACUUCUAAUGGAGUUGCUUUAGGACUCAUUAAUUUGACUGCUUCAGACAAAUCGACUGGAUUGUUUGAUGGAGUUUCAAACUCGAACUAAUACAGCAAAUUACCCAGGGUAAGCUCUAAUGGAGUUAGUGGAAUUGUAAACAAAAGCAGGAAGGCGAGGAGUUAUAUGAACUUCUAAUGGAGUUGCUUUAGAAUUCGUUAUCCCAAGUGCUUCACGCAUAUCGACAGCUUCGUUUGAUGGAGUCUCAAACUCAAACCAAUGCAAAUACAUUAGCUAGUGUAAAAAGCAAAAUUUGAAGUGCAAAUGAAAUUCCAGGGCACAUUCUUCUACCACUUCCAAAUGGAAUCAGUUCAAAAUUCUGUCCCCUCACAUCAAUGUCUUUGUGAGUAGUCAUAAAUCUUUCAGGUUGAAAUUUAAAAGAGUUUGCCCAUAUAAGUGGAUCAUGAUAAAUCUUAUAAAGAUCGUGAUCUUUUUUAUGUAAAGUGAAGUAGCCUUUUUACCGUCACCCCAAAUCAUACAUCAAUGAUCAAUCCAAUUCCAUUAUCAAUUUUCUCUCCAUUUUUCUUGUUUUGAAAACACUGAUCAAUCAAAAUGUCAUUAAGAGCUGGACUUGAUUUGACAUGUAGUGCGAUACUUUACGCCUCCUUGCGGAUUUGAUAUCGUGCAAGGGCCAUUCAUGUCUUUACCAUUAGAUUGACUAACAUUACUUGGGCAAACCACUUUUCCUUGAAAUAUUUGAAAUUUAUUGAAUUCUACUUUUUCUUCAGGAAAGAAAAAAUACCAAAAGUUACAUAUGGUAUUAUUACAUGACAAGUAUAGUACCUUAGAAAUUUGUUGAAUUCUACUCAUUUUAUAAUAAAAUUAAAAUACCAAUUAGUUAAUGGAAUCAUAAAAAAAAAAAAAGGAAGACAAGGGGUUAUAUAAACUUCUAAUGAAGUUGCUUUAGAACUUGAUAUCCCAAGUGCUUCACACAUAUCGACAGCUUCUGGUGCUGUUUUCUUCGAGUUUGUGUUUCUUCUUGAGAUCGACAGAAAAGAGAAAAGAAGUAGUAGUGGAAAAGCAACGAUUGCAACCGUUGAAGUUGCUGUGAGUGAAUGGAAAUAAUCCAUCGCCCGAUUCCCACUUCAAUAUUAAGAUAAGAAAUGGAAUGUGAGCAGCAGAGAUGAGGGAGUUGGAUUUAAAGGGCUAGGGGAUGUCAAGACAGUACCUUCAUCAACAAGUGUUCUUGUUUUUUUUUUUUUUUGUCAUUUAAUUUCUAAAAAUUAAUUCUAAAAAACAAAAUGAAAAGGAUAAAUUAGGAGUGCCAAAGUUGUAAAUUUUUUAUUUUUGGUGCCUAAAAAUGAAAACUGUGACCUGCUGUCUACCCAAAUAUGUAUAUUCCCCCACACUCUAGGAACAAUAAUUUCUUUAAUUAAGGUUAAAUUUUGUUAUUAGUCCCUCUACUUUGUAAAAGUUACAGAUUUAACCCAUACGUUUUAAUUUGAUUAAUUUUGAUCAUUAUACUUUUUGAAUUGGUGAAUUCUAGUCUCUUAACUUUUUUAAAUUUUAAAAAUCUAGUCUUAACCCUAAUAAAUAGUAGUUAAAUCCGUUUGUUUAAAUUCAAUUAUUAGUCUUGUAUUAUGUUUAUGAUUGUAAAUUUAGUCCAUAUUCUCCAAUUAGAUCAUUCUAAGUCCCUGUACUUUUUGAAAAUUAAAAUUUUAUUCUUGACGUAAAUGACCGUCAUAAAUCCAUUAACUGAAUAUAUUUUUAGCGAGUAAUAUUUGGAAAUAAUAAGACAUAGCAUUAUAUAUAUGGUAAUAUGUUUUUCGCAUCAGAUUUUGAAAAUAGCAAAACUUAACUUAAUGAAUGUAAUAAUUAUCGUUUGAUGAGAACUAAAAUUUUAAAGUUGAAAAUUAAAUAAAUUAAAAUACAAGAAUUAAAUUCAUAAUAUAGAGAUUAAUCAUGUAAUUUAACUAAAUGUUGAUAUAAUUGUAAGAUUGCUGAAUCCCUUUCAUAUCUUAAAGGAUCACGCAAAAUCCACCCACGUUUUCUACUUUUGACAAACAACAGCAUACAUAGCCAAUUGAAGCUUGGCAAUGUUCGGAAAUAUUAAAGUUUUGGAUAAUUUUUCUAUUCAUAUUUUUUAAUCUAAAUUCGGAUAUUUCUGAUUUUUAACUAUUUUAUAUUGACUUAAUUUUGAUAAUAAUUAAUUAAAUCUACAUUAUUUUUAAAUGUUUUGUUGAGUUGGUGUCACGAGUUAAUUGGACAUCAAUUCCUAAUUAAACUAUGAGGGUAUUUGAGAUUCAAACUCACACCGAUUGCAUUCGUAAAACAUUUAAUUUACCACUCAACUAAAAUAUUAUUUUGAUAUUUGUAUAUAUUUUAAUUUUAUUAUGCACACUCCAUUAGUUCUAUCAAUUGUAUAUCUAUACUAUUAUUAAACUCCGGAUCGAGUUGGUGUAUAAGUCAAUAGGUCACUAACUUGGUUAGAAAAUUAUAGGAAUGUUAUUCUGUAACUAAAAUAAGUAAUAUUAUGGGUAAACCACUAAAAUAGUCAUUUUUUUCACUUUAGGUUACAUUUUAGUAACUUAAGUUAUCACACUGUAACAUUUUAGUCACUGAGCCGUUGAUUGUCAUUAACGAUAUAACGAUAAGCUGAUGUGGCACAUUAAAUCAUCAUUACAAACAAAAAGUUUAGGUUAAUUUCUAUAAUCGGUCCCCGUAUUUUUUCAUUUUUAGCAAUUUCAUUUUUUCUUUUAUGCUAUUUUAUCUUUUUUAUCUUUUUUUUUUCAUUCUCUUUUGCUUCUCCCUCUAUUUUCCUUCCUUCUCCAUUUCUUUUAACGUAAUUUUUCUAUGUUAUUUGCUAAAACUAAUUCCUAUACUUUUAUUUUUUUUUGAACAAUUUAAUUUUUUUUGAGUAAGAUAAGCUUGUGGACUAAUUUUAAGAAUAAUAUUUAAGAAUUAAUUUUCAAAGGGAUUGAAAAGGGAACUAUACCCUUUAGCCAAGUGGGGAUCAAGCUCAAGCCCCUGCCUGCUAGAAAGCUCCAUCUAACAAGUUACAUGCUAAUGUAGAAAGCUCCAUUUAAUGACACAUACGAUAAAAGCAUUUAAUUUCAAAUCAACUUUUAAUUCAAAUUGUCUAAUUUAAUAGUUUGGGUAGGCUUUAUAAUAUCUUUGUUGACACGAAUAUUGUUUAGCAUAAUAGUUGUAAGGAUGAUAGUAGUAGUUCUCGUGUUGAUUUGGUUGAGUUUGGAUAAUAUUUUAGAUUUGGUUUUGAGUUUGAUAUUAGAGAAAUAUCACGAUAGGAGUUAGUCUACACUUACUGUAUCAAUUGUUAAUGCUUAGUUUUGAUAAGAUGGAAAUGACAGUGGAAUUAGGCGGUUCACCUCGUUGGGUACAAGGCGGACAACCACCAUAGGAGGUGUUCAGACGAAGAUGGUGUUGAUAUCGGGUUAGGUUGUUGAAGGAGGAAUGAAAGGAGCGGAGAGAAAGAGAGAGAGCCCCUUUUUCCAGUCAGAUUUGAGAAAUUUUAAACCCUUAACUACAAUCUUGAGAUGCCAUAUGUCACGUCUCUAUUAGCAAGUCAGGAAUAAUGGGCCAAAUGGUUUGUCACCAUAGGUUUAGGUAGGUAGGGUGGCGAUUAGACGUGCUUUCAAUCACUUUAGAUGAAACACGAUAGUGAGGUUGAGUAGUGAAGAUUAAUGAGUAGAGCUCACAUAAAUUAAUAUGACUGUUAGGUCAAGGACUGUUCCUGAAAGAUAUGUCCGAGUAAUAGGUGGAGCUUUCAUGAGGAGUAGAUCCAAGGAGCGGAGGCAUAACAACUCUAAAUUUAUGAUUUAGCUAAAAUUAUAUCUUUAUGAAAUGAACUCUGUGAAUUUUUCUUAGAAGAGCCCAAUAAACAACUACAACUUGAUGCUUUAGUAUUACAUUGAUAUCCACCAAUACACGGGUAAGUUCCAAUCUACUUUCGUUCUCAUAUGCUUUAGUAUGUUGAAAUGUUCUUUCAACACAAUUAUUGAUAAUGCAUGUUUUGAAUAAAAUUAUUUAUUCAAAAUAAAUAAAUAUAUUAAAUCAGCAAAAAGAUUUAUAUAGUAAUAAUACUAAAAAUUUAUUUAUUAUAAUUAUAGGUAAACAUAAGUAGGAAUGUGAUGAGUUAUAUAAACUUCUAAUGGAGUUGCUUUAGGACUCAUUAAUUUGACUGCUUCAGACAUAUCGACUGGAUUGUUUGAUGGAGUUUCAAACUCGAACCAAUGCAGCAAAUUACCCAGGGUAAGCUCUAAUGGAGUUAGUGGAAUUGUAAACAAAAGCAGGAAGGCGAGGAGUUAUAUGAACUUCUAAUGGAGUUGCUUUAGAACUCUUUAUCCCAAGUCCUUCACGCAUAUCGACUGCUAUGCCUGAUGGGGUUUCAAACUCAAACCAAUGCAACACAUUAGCCAACGUAAGCUGUAAAACUUGAAGUGCAAAUGAAACUCCGGGGCACAUUCUUCUACCACUUCCAAAUGGAACUAGUUCAAAAUUCUGUCCCCUCACAUCAAUGUCUUUGUGGGUAGUUAUAAAUCUUUCAGGUUGAAAUUCAAAAGGGUUUACCCAUAUAAGUGGAUCAUGAUGAAUCUUAUGAAGAUUCAUAAUAAGCCAGGUGCCAGCUGAAACAUGGUAUCCAUUAACCGUGCAGUCUUCAGUGGCUUCAUGGAUCACAGAGAGCGGACCAGGAGGAUAUAGGCGUAGAGUUUCUUUAAUGAUGGAUUGAAGGUACACUAAGUUUUUUGUGUCUGAAGUCUAUCCUUACCAAUGUGGACAUCUAGUUCUUGUUGGACUUUACUCAAUUUGUCACGAUUAUUGAGUAGCAAAGAUAGGCCCAUAUCAAUGUGAUGGAUGUGGUAUCCUCCGCGCCUAAGACAAGUCCCUGUUACAUCAAAUACCAUGAAAAGAUCAACAAUGAAAUAAUGGCAUUUCCAACUUAUGUAUGUUAUUAAUAGCAAUCUUGACCAAAAAAAAUUGCCAUUAAUUACAAUCUAUUUGGUUAAGAGAUAUGCACGUACUAGACAAUUGAUUUUGUUUAUUGUAUCAGCAUGGUGUUCCUCCGCCUCACUGAGAAUAGACAGCAUCACUCCCAUGAAAUCUUCCUCACCGUUUGCCUUAUUUUCAGCUCUCUUCUGCUUGUGCUCUUGUAGCCAUCCCUGCACAACUUGGUCCAAUUCUUUCGCUGUCUUCUUCAUGAACUUGAUGUCUCCACCUAUGUCCAGGAAUCUCAGAAACGGCAAAGCAUCUGAUAUUAAAAACUUUCCACUUAGUACAAAGAAGUCAUCCAUCGAUUUCCUCCAUUUCAAGUUUUCACCUCCUUCACUGGAAUUUGGAAUUCGCUUUCCUACAAUCAUCCACAUAAUCACGUUCAGAGUAACUUCUUUGAACCAUCCCCUCAUCUCCACCAAUACUUUAUCGGAGUUAGCACUUCUCUUCUUGUUCCACAGCUGUUACAACUGUUGCAGAGAUGUCUUCACCUCGGAUUCCCUUACAUGUUUAAGUAAUUCGAGUCGGUGAUUUGAGAGGAGCUCAAUAGCGGCAACCUUGCGUAUUUGACGCCAAUAAGGUCCAUAUGGUGCAAAGCCUAACAUGGCUCUGUUGUUACCCAAAAUUUCCGAGCUUGCAAGUUUUGGACGAGAGGCAAACUCUUUAUCAUUUACGGUGAGACAUUCUUUUGCAAUCUCCCAAUCGCUCACCACCAAAGCUCUAUGCACACCCAACUUGAUACUGAAGAUUCUUCCAUAUUUGUCAGCCAUGUUAGCCAAGCUUAUGUGAGGUGGUUGUGAUCCUCCUAAGAGGCGGAGAUGACCAAUAAUAGGCCAUGCUCCACCAGCUUCUGGUGCUGUUUUCUUCGAGUUUGUGUUUCUUCUUGAGAUCCAUAGAAAAGAGAAAAGAAAUAGUAGUGGAAAAGCAAUGAUUGCAACAGCUGAAGUUGCUGUGAGUGAAUGGGAAUAAUCCAUCGCCAAAUUUCUACUUUCAAUCUAAGAUACAGACAAUGCAUAUAUAUGCAUUGUUGUGUUGUUGGCGUAAUUAUCGUAUAUUGAUCUUUCACUAACUUACGUUACUGAUAUUGGAAUUUUGAAGCCAUAUAAGAAAAUCAACGAAGUACUGCGAUGUGAAGAAAGACGACAGGUUAUACUAAUUCCAAUCUUGGGCUCCAUUUAUUUUCUUGAAAAUGAUUUCCAAAAAAAAAAAGAUUUUUGAAAAAAGAUUUAUUUUUAUAAAAAAAUUUAAUUUUUUAUGGUGUUCAAAUAAAUCAGUAUAAAAUAUUUUCGAUUAUUUGGUAAUUUUCCUGAAAAUAUUUCAUAAAAAUUGUUUCCAAUUAAUACAUUUAAGAUUCUUUUAUAUUUUCAUUAUUUAAUUGAAUUUAUUUUAUAUCUAUAAAUAUAUAUUUUAUGUUUUUUUCAUAUAUUGCAAUAAUUUAUUUAUAAAUAAAUACAUCAAAUUAAAUAUAUAAUAUUACUCAAUUAUUAAGCUAGAAUACAAACAAUAACAACUUAAAAAAAUUACACUUCUAAAUUCUUUUAUACCGUUUAUUUUUCAUAUCCAACAUGUUUAUGUGAUAAGUUUACAUGUGUUUAUAAUUUGUUGCGCGUAAUUUGAAUAUGCUCUAUGUCAAAUUCAAACUAUUAUUCAACAUCUAAAUUAGCGGUUAAGUUGAGGUAAUGAUAUGAUUUGUUCGAUACCAAUAUUUUAAGAAUUCAAUUAAAAUAUUUUAAAAUUUAGGAACUAAUUUGAAAUCUAAUUAAUACUCUAGGGACAAUUAAUUAAAUUAACCCAAAGACAAAUAUUGCAAACCACUUUUCCUUGACGAUCCACUACCAUCUCUCGCUAACUAAAUAUCUAAAAUAACAUAAAUAAUAGAUUUGUGGAAUCAUAUUAUAAAAUUAUAGUAUUUAGCCCAUUUACUUUUAUUUUUGAAAAUUUAGUUUUACUUUUUAGAUAUUAAAUUCAGGCUCAACAGUUACUACUACUAAAAAUAUUCUAUUAAAUUCAGGUUAAUUAUAACCUCAUUUUUUAGUUAAAUGACUACCAAGUGAAUAUUUUUUGUUUGAAAAUUUAAAAUCGACAAAAUUAACAAAAAAAAAUAAGCAAUGUUAACAAUUGGACUUGAUUUUCAAAUCUGAAGAGUAGAUGGGCUAAAUAUUUAAACUUUCUAAUUCUGAAUUUGUAAAGAGUACAUUGACUUAUGACAUAUUUUAAACUUUAUACUACAAAACAUUUAUUAUUAAUAUAUUUAUAAUUGUAAUAAAUAUUUGUUAUCAAAAUAUUAAUAUUGAAUUUUUUCAAUAAUAUAUGAAAUUAUUUAAAAUUAUUAUUUUCAAAAUUUAUUAUUAAAAUAAAAUUAAUAUAUUAAAUAAUAAUUUAUAUUAAUAAUUUAUUAUAUGAUUAGAUAUAGAUAAUUAAAUAUGUAUGUUUAAUAAUAUUAAAAAUUAUAAUAUGUUAUAUUAAUAUUUUAUUUAUUUUAAAUAUUUUUAAAAAUAAAAAUAAAAAUUUAUUAUUAAUAUAAUAAUAUUAAGCUUGACUAAAAGUUAUUUUUUAUAUGAAGGUAAAAUUACCUAUAAAUGAGUUCUUUUCCGAAAAAAUGACUUACGCUAAGUCAUUUUACAAGAAAAAUGGCUUAUUUUCAGUUGACUUAUAAGUCAUUUUCUAUUGAUCAAACUAUUUUCCAUGAAUCAAACUUUGAAUACAUUUUUCGUAAAACAAACAGAACGUUAUUUUCUACAUUAACAAAACCAGCCUGGUAAUCUUCGUGGAACACAUUUUUAUUUCCAAAUAAAAAAUGAAGAUGAAAAAGGAAAUUCGUUCACUUAUUGUUUUCCACGAAAUUAAUAUUCUUGUCUAUUAUCAUCAUCAUUAAAUAUAGGGAAAUGAUACACUUAUAUUAGUAUAAAAUUAUAAUGAUAUUAAACUUUAUGUAUUGGUAUGAUGGUUAAGGGCGUUUAAUGUCUUAUGUGAGAUUUUGGUUUGACUCGUGCUAUUUAUAAUUUAUAAAAAAUUAUAGUGAUAUUAUACUUUUUAUAAUUUUUUUAUACAAUUAAUAUCUUAAUAAGUCAACUGUUGAAUUUUAUGUUCUAUUUAUGUAGAUGAUGUAUAUUAAGAGAGAGAGGGAGGGAGAGGGGGGGAAGAGAGAGAGAGAGAGCGCCAUUUUCUAGUCAAUUUUGAGAUAUUUUAAACCCUUAGCUACAAUUUUGAGAUACACAUGUCACGUCUCUAUUAACAAGUCAAGAAAAGGGGGCCAUAUUGUCUAUCACCAUAUGUGUAGGUAGAAUGGGGAUUGAUAGUGCUUUUAAUCACUUUAGAUGAAAUACGGUAGUAAAGAUGAAUAGUGACAAUUAAUAAGUGAGGCUCACAUAAACUAAUAUAACUGUUAAGUAGAGAAGUGUUCCCGAAAGAUAUGUUCGAAUAAUAAGUGGAGCUUUCGUGAGGAGUAAAUUGAGAAGUGGUAGAGGCAUAACAACUCUAAAUUUAUCAUUUAGUUAAAACUAUAUGUUUAUGAAAUGAACUCUCUCAAAUUUUGUUAGAAGUGCCCAGUAAACACCUCCAACUUAAUUCUUUAGUAGUAAUUUGAUAUCCACCAAUACAGGGGUAAGGUUCCAAUUGACCAUCGUUCUCAUAUGCUUUAGUACGUUGAUAUUCUUUCAACACAACUAGUGAAAUGCAUGUUUUGAAUAAAAUUAUUUAUUCAAAAAUAAAAAAUAAAAUAAAAAUAUUAAAUCAGUAAAAUCAAUUGCACCAACAGCACCAAGUAGCCCAAAUAUUUAUUUUUGAUCGUGUAUAUAAUAAUAGUUCGAUAAAUAAGCAAUAUACUAACCAUUUUGAUAUCCACAAAAAAGAUAUAAAUAGUAAUAAUACUAAAAAGUUAAUUCUUAUAAUAAUUGGUAAACAUAAGUAGGAUUACGAGGAGUUAUAUGAACUUCUAAUGGAGUUGCUUUAGAACUCGUCAGGCCAGGUGCUUCACGCAUAUCAACGGCUUCAUCGAACGAGGUCUCAAACUCAAACCAAUGUAACACAUUAGCUAGUAUAAGUGACAAAUUCUGAAGUGCAAAUGAAAGUCCGGGACACAUUCUUCUACCACUUCCAAAUGGAAUCAGUUCAAGAUUUUGUCCCCUCACAUCAACAUCUUUAUGUGUGGUCAUAAAUCUUUCAGGUUGAAAUUUAGAGGGAUUUGCCCAUACAAGUGGAUCACGAUGAAUCUUAUGAAGAUUUAUAAUAAGCCAAGUGCCAGCUGAAACAUGAUAUCCAUUAACUGUGCAGUCUUCAAUGGCUUCAUGGAUCAGGGAUAGUGGAAGAGC
rnacentral:lncRNA from 1 species